GCCUGGGUGGCUCAGUCGGUUGAGCGUCCGACUUCAGCUCAGGUCACGAUCGCGCGGUUCGUGAGUUCGAGCCCCACGUCGGGCU
rfam:Felis catus isolate Cinnamon breed Abyssinian chromosome D1, whole genome shotgun sequence.